rnacentral:tRNA from 1 species
CAAAAGAUAGUUUAUUUAAAAUUCUGGUUUUGGGAAUCAGGGAUGUGGAGGUUCCUCUCUUUUGA